CGUGAGAGACGGCUACCACAUCCCAAGGAAGGCAGCAGGCGCGUAAAUUGCCCGAAUCCUGACACAGGGAGGUAGUGACAAGAAAUAACAAUACAGGGCUUCUAAAGUCUUGUAAUUGGAAUGAGUACAAUUUACAUCUCUUCACGAGGAUCAAUUGGAGGGCAAGUCUGGUGCCAGCAGCCGCGGUAAUUCCAGCUCCAAUAGCGUAUAUUAAAGUUGUUGCAGUUAGAACGCUCGUAGUCGGAUUUCGGGGCGGGUCGACCGGUCUGCCGAUGGGUACGCACUGGUUGACGCGUCCUUCCUUCCGGAGACCGUCUCACUCUUAACUGAGCGGAGGCGGGAGACGGAACGUUUACUUUGAAAAAAUCAGAGUGUUUCAAGCAGGCAGCUCGCUCUUGCAUGGAUUAGCAUGGGAUAAUGAAAUAGGACUUUGGUGCUAUUUUGUUGGUUUCGAACACCGAAGUAAUGAUGAGAAGGGACAGUCAGGGGCACUCGUAUUCCGCCGAGAGAGGUGAAAUUCUCAGACCAGCGGAAGACGAACCACUGCGAAAGCAUUUGCCAGGGAGUUUUCACUGAUCAUGAACGAAAGUGAGGGCUCAAAU
rnacentral:rRNA from 1 species